UUGUAAUUUGCAGAGGAUGCUUUUGGUGCGGCGCCAUCCGAGUUCCCUGGAACGGGACGCCAUAGAGGGUGAGAGCCCCGUCUGGUUGGAUGCCUAGCCUCUAUAAAGCUCCUUCGACGAGUCGAGUAGUUUGGGAAUGCUGCUCAAAGCGGGAGGUAUAUGUCUUCUAAAGCUAAAUACCGGCUAGAGACCGAUAGCGCACAAGUAGAGUGAUCGAAAGAUGAAAAGCACUUUGAAAAGAGGGUUAAAUAGUACGUGAAAUUGCUGAAAGGGAAGCGCUUAUAACUAGACGUAGGCGCUACUAAUCACCUAGUAUUUUUACUAGGGUAUUUAGUAGUGCCUAGGCCAGCAUCGGUUUGCUACGGGGGAUAAAGACGCUUGGAACGUGGCCCCCCUUGGGGGGUGUUAUAGCCUUGCGUGUAAUGCUCUGUAGUGGACCGAGGACCGCGCAUCUGCAAGGAUGCUGGCGUAAUGGUUAUUAGUGACCCGUCUUGAAACACGGACCAAGGAGUCGUCCUCGUAUGCAAGUGUUUGGGUGUAAAACCCCUACGCGGAAUGAAAGUGAACGCUGGUGAGAGCCCCUUGGGGUGCAUCACCGACCGAUCCUGAUGUUCUCGGAUGGAUUUGAGUAUGAGCAUACGGGGCCGGACCCGAAAGAAGGUGAACUAUGCCUGCGUAGGGUGAAGCCAGAGGAAACUCUGGUGGAG
rnacentral:rRNA from 1 species